AAUCCGUCGUUUCCUAUCAUAGACCACUCCCCCCAGCGUUGCUUUUUCGUCCUCUAUACACCCUAACCUUCGGCACCUUCACAACACAAAACAAAAACCAACCUAAUAGACAAAAAUCCUAGUUGUUUCCUGGACUGAAAUUCAGAACCAACGACCCUAAGCUUCUCCUUCAGCACACCCUAACGUCGGAUUCCCCUUAACCCUAAGCAGUCGUUUCUAAGAAAAACCCCAGCGACUCCUCGCCGGAAACCAACCCCACCGGAGAAACCAGAACUCAUGCCAAACGCACAUACACACAGUUGCAACUUCACCAAAGCAACACCGUGAAACUUCACCCAUGGCCACAUGUUUCUUUCACCACCGUAGGUCUGCUAGAGAACCACCAUGAACGACCCUUGAAGUUUGAGUUCAUUGGCAAAGAUCUGGUUUCUCCGGCAACGUUUGAGGUCUGUUCGAGGUUCACCGUCAAAGCUUCGAUCGAUGCACUCGAUCGAGCUCUCUGUCGGAUUGUCCGGUCCAACCCCGUUCCACAGCGCUGUUCGAGUGCUUGUAAAGCUAUGAUUCAACAUCAAGCGAUUUGUGCUAGUGGUGUCAGCGGUUCAAGUACAAAAACCGACAUAUUUUCUUUGUGGUUCAUCUAUCUAGGUGCCCGAGUAUCAAAGUGAGAGCUUCCAGCACUCUCAGAGCUUCAUAGGAGAUCGCAAGGUAGCUGCAGGGCGUUCGCAGCCUUGCUUUCCUCCCUCCUAUCUUAGUAUUGUGUCUUUCAGACUUAUUUUGUAUUAUUCAGACAACAUUUUGGUUGUAUUUAGAGGCUCAUGAUUAGUGACACGGGAUUUGGGUUGUGUUAGUGUAUUUCAUACUCUUUUCCGCAUUUCUGUUGAUUUAUAUAUUACAUUUGAAGAAUUUGAGACUUAA